UGGCUCGCCGCGUUGGGCCUGCUGAGCAAUCAGCCAGGCUGGCACUCGGGGCUGAUUGCAGCCACAGAAAUGGAAGCUAUUUAGAAUCAUAGAAUCAUUAUGGUUGGAAAAGACCUCUAAGAUCACCCAGUCAAACCAUUCACCUUUCGCUUCCUCUGCAUCAGAGAUGGCAAAAAGUAAUAUAAACACAGGAGAAGGAGAAGAAAGAAGAAAUAGAGACGUUGGAAGCAAUGUGCAGGAUUUCCUGACGGGAUAUUUCAGGAGCCCUGUCACUGAGCCCUAGGGCCUGCAGCAGGAUGGAGGGCUGAGGAUGGAUUUGUUUAAAAGGCAGAAGCCCUGCAGCCAAGACACCCAAACCCUGCUCAUUGCCUUGGCCUUGCUGCAGCAGGUAGCCAAGCAGCUGGCUGUGUGAGUGUGCGGCGCGUGGCUCAGCACAACCUGUGCUCCAGAGGACGUCCAGGAGAGAUUAGCAGCUGUCCAUGAAAGAAGGCAUAUUCCCAUAGAAGUUACUCACAGGUUCUUGAUCAGCUCAAACAAGCACAACGUCUUCCUGCUGGAUAAAGCCACUUCAGCUGUAGGCCUGUUGCUGAGAUGUGAGGUUCUGCCCUGCUCUCACCAGAGGAGUGAGAUGUGAGAGCCGUGUGGAUGCUGGGCAGCCUUCCCUGGCUCACCAUAAAGGCAGCUUUGCCCUUCACAUUCCCCUUUGAUUUGUGAUGGUUGAGCCAAGGGAGCUGCAGACCAAGCAGGGACCUGGGAAACAUUGGCUCUUCGUAUUCAGCUGGGCCAAAUGAAAUGACUUCCCAUCUUCUGUUACUCACGGCGUAGUAACAGAAGAGGAAGAAAUGUUUUCCCCUUUCAGAAGUCCUGGAAGAGUCAGAGUGGUGCCUUCUCUGCACAAGGUGCAAACACAUUGGUGUUAACAAGUCCCAGCCCUGGAGGGCCCCUUCUUCUCUGGGAGCCAGAACUGUUUGUAAAACUGCUAAGGGACAGCUUGCAGCAUUCGUUAUUUACUGUGACAGUUUGAGCACCACCAACUGCUGGUGACCAAAAUACCACGGAUCAGACCUUCAGCUCCAGAGACAGCUUGGAAGGAGAGCAAGUUAAAAAAUACUAAUGCUGAACUUUUUGUUCUGCUUUUGAUAGCCUUUACAGUUUGUGUUCUUAAGCUUCCCUCUGCAGCCACAGAAUUUAGAAAAGCAUUUGGAAAAAAAAAAAAAAAGAAUCUCAGAGCUGAGAUAUCCUUAAAAUCACAUGUUUCCAGAUGCUGCGGACUUGAGAGCAAAGCUCCAGAUAUAAUCCUGAGAUUUGGCAGCGCUGUUUGUAUCGUAUUAAGUGAUGGUCUACAGCACUCGUUAAUUACUGCAGGCUGAAAAACAGUUCUGCCUCCCGACAGAGGUCUUCUGCUCAUUCUCAGCAUAUAAGUUUUUCCAGUUCUUCUGGGUCAGAGGGAAAUAUCACUUUCUAAAGAGCGUAGGAACAAAAAUAUGCAGUGAGGUAAGCUCUGAGUUGAGCUUUAACUGUAUUCAUAUACUUUAACAACGUAAGUCAGUAUAAUUUUUAUUCAGAAAGAGAGAUUUGAGUAUAAGGAACCAAAGCGAUCUCUCCAUAAAGCUAUUUC
rnacentral:lncRNA from 7 species